AUUGAACGCUGGCGGCAGGCUUAACACAUGCAAGUCGAGCGGGGUGAUGGUGCUUGCACUAUCACUUAGCGGCGGACGGGUGAGUAAUGCUCAGGAAUCUGCCUAUUAGUGGGGGACAACAUCUCGAAAGGGAUGCUAAUACCGCAUACGUCCUACGGGAGAAAGCAGGGGAUCACUUGUGACCUUGCGCUAAUAGAUGAGCCUAAGUCGGAUUAGCUAGUUGGUGGGGUAAAGGCCUACCAAGGCGUCGAUCUGUAGCGGGUCUGAGAGGAUGAUCCGCCACACUGGGACGGAGACACGGCCCAGACUCCUACGGGGGGCAGCAGUGGGGAAUAUUGGACAAUGGGGGGAACCCUGAUCCAGCCAUGCCGCGUGUGUGAAGAAGGCCUUAUGGUUGUAAAGCACUUUAAGCGAGGAGGAGGCUCUUUUGGUUAAUACCCAAGAUGAGUGGACGUUACUCGCAGAAUAAGCACCGGCUAACUCUGUGCCAGCAGCCGCAGUAA
rnacentral:rRNA from 1 species